ensembl:lncRNA
CACAUUUCUCACGCUCUCUCUCCGCCGCGCGUCUCCGCGCGCACGCAUGCGUCAAACCGGCAGCCCGCCACGAGGAGAUUUACAUCCUAUGUUUCUUCAGAUGCCACUGAAAUUAUUGUCAAAAAUAAAAAAAAGGAGCAUUUUUUUGGUGGGGGAAAUACCCCUCACCCCUCCCGACCUGCAGAACAAGAGGACGCCCCCGACUCUUUCCCAACACGAGCGCCGUCUGGAUUCCUGCAAUCCGCAGACCGCGAUUUUCGUCAGCAUCCACGAGUAGCAGAUGGGACACUUCAACAAGAGCCCUGAGGGUACCCAUCACUUCCUGAUGUCCAGCAAUCAACACUCUGAGACAUCAACUCUAUCAACUCUAGUACUUCUAGAUCUCUCUUUGUGUUGUCAUUCAUGGGUUGGAGAAAGAAGUUCAUACGGGACAUUGUCUGCUUUAGUUUUUUCGCUCAACUUGAAUUAUUUUUUAUCCUUGCUUGCACACCUUGGGUGCAGCUCCUAUCACCAACUUCCAAUGGAAUCAUCCAAAGCAAACUAUGGACAUCAAACUGUUUGCAAGAACAACACCGUGCUUGGGAGAAGGCGCUCUAUGAUUACUGUGCCCAGGAACAUACCUGUAGCUCUGUCUUCCUCCUCUCUAACCGAGAGGAAGUUAAUACUGAAGACAUAGAGGUCAACAGAUUUGUGGGUGAAUAAAGAGUUAUGAAAAGAGUUGUCAAAUCCAGAGAUGGGAUAAUCUUUUAAGAUAAUUUAAGAUCUAUAUAGUCUACAUUAUUAUUGUAUUAAUCAGUGUAAAGCCUUUGGAAGCAUGAGGUAAUUAAACAAAUGCUGUCAUAGCUGAUGAAAUGACGAUGUACACAAUUGAACUCAUACAACAGCCGGCUCUCAACUGUGAUGUUAUUCAAUCUUAUGCUACAUUCUGUAUUUGGAGCUAUUCUGAAAUGUAAUAACAGCUGUUCCUUUAAAGUAUUAUGACACAUUUAUACCCACUCAUUAACUCUCAUUAUGGCC